rnacentral:rRNA from 1 species
UACGAAGGGGGCUAGCGUUGCUCGGAAUCACUGGGCGUAAAGGGUGCGUAGGCGGGUUUUUAAGUCAGAGGUGAAAUCCUGGAGCUCAACUCCAGAACUGCCUUUGAUACUGAAGGUCUUGAGUAUGGGAGAGGUGAGUGGAACUGCGAGUGUAGAGGUGAAAUUCGUAGAUAUUCGCAAGAACACCAGUGGCGAAGGCGGCUCACUGGCCCAUUACUGACGCUGAGGCACGAAAGCGUGGGGGAGCAAACAGG